CCUACGGGAGGCAGCAGUGGGGAAUAUUGGGCAAUGGGCGCAAGCCUGACCCAGCAACGCCGCGUGAAGGAAGAAGGCUUUCGGGUUGUAAACUUCUUUUGUCAGGGACGAAGCAAGAGACGGUACCUGACGAAUAAGCCACGGCUAACUACGUGCCAGCAGCAGCGGUAAUACGUAGGUUGCAAGCGUUAUCCGGAUGUACUGGGUGUAAAGGGCGUGUAGGCGGGACUGCAAGGCAGAUGUGAAAACCACGGGCUCAACCUGUGGCCUGCAGUUGAAACUGUAGGUCUUGAGUACUGGAGAGGCAGACGGAAUGCCUAGUGUAGCGGUGAAAUGCGUAGAUAUUAGGCAGAACACCAGUGGCGAAGGCGGUCUGCUGGACAGCAACUGACGCUGAGGCGCGAAAGCGUGGGGAGCAAACAGGAUUAGAUACCCCAGUAGUC
rnacentral:rRNA from 1 species